GGUUGCGUGGCGCAAUUGGCAGACGCACUAGAUUUAGGCUCUAGCAGUUGAAGGUUCGACUCCUUUCGCAACCACCA
rnacentral:tRNA from 1 species